rnacentral:pre_miRNA from 1 species
GAAAACUUGGAAACUACCAUUGGAUCGAGAAAUGGACGUCCGAGAUUCGUCCACGUCACCAUAAAUUAAAAUACAACUCAUAGUGAUGUGGACAAAUCUCGGACGUCUAUUUCUCGAUCCAACGAUAGUUUUCAAGUUUUC